rnacentral:rRNA from 1 species
GUAUUACCGGAUGACAUACCUUUCCUGCAUGGGCGGGUUCUCAAAGGUCCGCCCGGUCUGGGAGCGGGCGAUUUCGUAUCAGCUAGUUGGUGAGGUAACGGCUCACCAAGGCGACGACGCGUAGCCGGACUGAGAGGUUGGCCGGCCACAUUUGGGACUGAGACACUGCCCAGACUCCUACGAGGGGGCUGCAGUAACGAAUCUUCCGCAAUGCGCGAAAGUGUGACGGAGCGACGCCGCGUGUGGGACGAAGCCCUUCGGGGUGUAAACCACUGUCAGGGGUUAGAAAGUUCUGGUCGUCUCUCAGAGGAAGGCACGGCUAACUCUGUGCCAGCAGCCGCGGUAAGACAGAGGUGCCAAGCGUUAGGCGGAAUCACUGGGCUUAAAGCGUGUGUAGGCGGAUGCCUAAGUACCUUGUGAAAUCCCACGGCUCAACCGUGGAACUGCUGGGUAUACUGGGUGUCUUGGGCCAACUAGGGGUUGCUGGAACAAAUGGUGGAGCGGUGAAAUGCGUAGAUAUCAUUUGGAACGCCAAGGGCGAAAGCAGGCGGCUGGGGUUGUGCCGACGCUGAGACACGAAAGCCAGGGGAGCGAACG